UUUGCCAUGAUGCCCGAGUGCAUUAAUAAUGAGAAUCAUCUCAAACAUUUAUUAAUCACUUCAGGGCAGGUAUUUCACUGUUCUUUAGAAAAUGUUCAAACUGACACAUUUAAGGGCACACAAAUAUUUCUGGGAUCCUGCUGAGCAAUUCCAUUAAGGCACAGGUGAGAGGUGACCCCAUUUACAUUCUCUAAUUGAACUGGAUUUCCCCUGGGACAGGCAGAAAAAAAAUCGGAUAGAAAUUCACAGAACUAGUAAUCUGGUAUCGCUAUGUCUGUUCCCCUGCUAUAAGUGCAGGGAGUUUUCUGUGCAGUUGUUUUAGGUUUUGGAGCUGGACUUAGCCACCUGAGAGUACCUAUCCUGUUCUUUGCAAUAUCAGCAUCUAUGGAAGCUUGUUGCUUGCUAAAGCGUAUUGAAGUUGAUGGAAAGACGCCCAUUGACUUAAAUGAGUUUUGAAUAGGCCUUUAUGUUUGUGAUUCUCAGCAUGGCCAACUAUAAUAUGCUAUGUGAGCUCCAUCUGAAGAAUCUUAUAUGAACUCAGUUAUAUGCUGUGUUACUUACAGCCUCCACUACAGAUGACUCUAUCCAUUUGGCAGUCUCCACAGAAAGGCGAAUGAGAAUUUCACCCCUAAGUGAGACCCACUGCCAUGACAGCCUGAGGAAUCGUAUACUGCUUCUGCCUGUUAUGUAUGGCACAUGAUACUACAGAUGAAGAGAGGAUUUCAUUUGUUGGGGCUGUCGAUCCAGCAGUUUCCUUUGGUACUAAAUUAGUUUCAAACUUAUAGAAACCAAAUUCCAGUACCAAGCUAACAUCUUCUCCGAUAAGGAUUUGAAGGGAAAGAUAAUUACAGUAUGUAAAGUUUCUAAUAGCCUAACUGUCAGUUAUGCUUGCAGACAGUUUGCUAAGAAACACUGAGUAAAAUACAUGUUUGAUUAUCAGGCUGAACAUUGCUUUCACAUUCUUUUUAUUUUUCUUCAGCUAUUCUGUCACAUCAGGCUUUUGCUACAGCAAUUAUAUUCAUGACAUGUACUGAGAAGACACAAGCAAAUUUUACAUGUCACUGGAAUAAUGAACUCAGUGCUCUUCUCUUUUGUUAUUAUGGAAUUGGAUGGGGAAGCCGAAAAUAUUCACACUUGUUGACAUUUUGUCCAAUACAAAGGCACAAGACGACGCAUGGAAAUAUUUUUCUAAGCAAAUUAUUGGUGUUGUGGGAAAGCAGCCCUGUAGAUUUUUUGGGUUGCAUUGCUGUGCCAUGGAGACAGACAAAUAGUUUUUCAUCCCCACAUUCAUUCAGUUCCUCUCCUAAGUGAGCAAUGCUUGCACAGGGAUGCAGUGUAUCCAAGAGCUGUCAUUAGAAAAAUGUGAUGCUUGCUUCAUGCCGAAGUUGCACCUUGUCUUGCCAAACACAGAAACUGCUUUACUGCUUGCUUGUCUUCUUACAGAACAUGACCAGGAAGGUUAAAUUGGCAGUAACCCGGCAGUGAAGUUACUCACCUCUGUAAGUCUUUGGAGGAUGGAGCCCUAGAUUUGGCUUAAUUUAUCAAAGAAUAGGGAGCUGGAAGAUGCAAUCUAUCCCCUUCCAUUCACUCUUUUUAUGAAAAGGACUUGAACCCAUGUGUGAUGGGGUGGACUAGAUCUGGAAGCCCCCUGCUGCACCCCGUCCCAGAAAAAGGCAGUAGAGAGGUCCUUCAAGCUGCCUACAGUGGCUGUGGGGGAAGCAGCCAAUCAGAGCACAGCAGGCUAGUAUAAGAAGAGCUGCAGGGGCAGUGGGAGAUCAGUUCCUUGCUAGACCUGGAGGAGAGUGGAUGGUGCACCUGGCUGGCUGAGGGAGUCGCAGGACUUUGGACAGGGCAGUGCUGUCAGAAGCCAUGGAGAGCAAGAUGGAGCUCUGGGCUGGCUGCUGGGACUUCACCAGGACAAGGCCCUGAGAUAAUGGUGAAGAAUGUGCUGGAGCCAUAGGGAAGUGUCCCAGGGAAUUAGAGUAGCAGUGCAACUUAGAGAAAGGGACAUGGCAUGGCUGCUAUCUGUAGGGUCCCUUGGCUGGGUCCUGGAAUAGAGGGUGGGACUGGGUCCCCCCCACCAGCCACUGGGAAAGUGGCCUGGACUUUUAAGCACCCCAGAAGGGGAACUGAACUAUAGUGGCCCAGCUGGAGAGUUGCAGCCAGAAAGGCCCUGAGAGGGUGAAGACAUCGCCCCCAGGGAGGGAGCCCUGGGGCACCACACUAUUUUUUUUGAAGCAGAGACAACUUCAGAGAGAUGUUACAGAGGGCACGGAGUGAGGCCCCUGUUGGACUUGUACCCUGGAAGGGGUUUGCUUCAUUUUUUAUUUCACAACAGACUAUGUGUGACGUGGCUGGAGGGCUGAGUCAGCGAAGACCCACCACAAAUGGAGUGAGUGUACAGGCACACUGCACUGAAAAAGGGAGUUCUUGUGAGAGAGAGAUGAGAAAGGAUCAGCCAUUGGACUCUCUGACCUCCCUCCAAACAGCAAGAAGACUGGAGGAGAGAGAACUAGUGACGGAAUGAACCACUGUCUUCAUGGAUAGGAACUGAGUGGGAAGAAGGACAGAGGGGGAGAAACACUACCAAUGCCUUCUCAGAAACUGAGGGUUGGGGGAGUGGAAAGAGAGUGACAAAUGAAAACAGAGAGCCAGCAAUUAUUCAUGGUAUGAUAUUCUAACACAACUUUGCAAUAUUUUUAUCAUGAUCUUGUAUCUUUGUGAUGUUGAGUUAUAAUACUAAAUGCAUAGCCAAAAAAGUGAAUUUUCAGUAGAAUUUUUAAACAGUUUCACUUUGAAUGUGUCUUGACCUUUGUGUUCACUUCCCAUAAAUCUUCUAGUGAUCAGGUAUCCCCAGUGCAAAUCUUGGAAAAAGCACAUCUCUAGGCAGACUAUUCCAAAUAUUUGCCAUGAGUGAAAUCUGAAUGGUUACCGACCAGACACAGUGAGAAUUUCAAACUGAAAAUUUUACACUCAAGUAUGCAGUUUGAAAUUUGUGCUGCUGUUGGUUCAUUAGUGGAGUCAUUCAGUCAGGAAAGAGAGUGCCACUUGAAUUAUGUCAUGAAAAUUUCAAAUGAAUUUAGAUGGCCAGAUUUUCUGGAAUAGAAUUUGGCUGCAUCUCCUUGUUGAGCGUCUUAUAAAGAGCUGCACAGAGGAAGCUAUUUGCAUUGCACACCAACAAGUAUUAUUGGUCUUACAAAAUCAGUGAAGAAUACGACAUAUUCUUGAGACCAUCUACUGGCACAUUACCCACUAGCCAACUACUAACUUUUAUAUGCAGACACUUCUAGAGAGAAUACUCUCAUAACUCCCUAGCUGGGGACUCUCUUGAUGUGGAGGAGUCUCCAGUAGGUUUUGAAUUGGCAUACCCCUCCACCAAUGUUUCUCUAAACACUACUGGGGAGUGGGGUAUAAAAGUGGUCAGAGAAUCAGGAAGCCAUCUAAUCCUUCAAGGAAUUAAUGACUCUAAUAGAUUCCUAAGUGGUGCUGCUAGUGUGAUUCUGGUUGGAAUAAUAUGGGAAUAUAUUUAGGGAAGGAGGAAGAUGUUCUCUACUUUUUGAUCAGGUCCUGAGCACUCAGGCAUUUAUCCAGACAAGCACUUAAGCAUAUGCUUAACUUAAGGCAUGUGAGCAGCCCCUUCCAGUAAUGUCAAUGGGAUUACUCACAUUUUCAAAAGCUUUGGACUGGGCCCAGAGUGCUCAGUUACUUACAGGAUCAAGCCCUUAAACUUUUUAUUGUGCUACAUAAGGCCCCCAGAGCUUAAAUAGUUCUUAAGUAUUGCGUAGAACUUACACUGGCUCCUGCACAAGGUUGAAUUCUGCCCACAGGGAGAGAGAAGCACCAUACUUCUGUUAAAUUAUUUGUUAUGAAUUAUUUGCCCAGCUCUUGUCAUUAUGAUACAAGUCCAUGGCAGAAAUAUCACCAGGCAACAUUGGGACUUUGCAUGGUGUUUUAUCAGUGGCUUUUUACGAAGUUAAGUGGUUUUCCUACUCCUCACAGUUGAAUAUUGCUUAUUUAGUCAGUUCUCCAUGACAUGAGCUUGACAAUUAAAAAAGCACUGUUCUCAUUUCCCAGGGCUUUUGUUCUUUGGUGUCAGGUACUUUUAGCAAUAGGUAUUUCCAAUUCCGAAGAUGGGAAGGGUCAAUCUGUGUGAGCCAGGGCUUUGUCUAAUUGGCAUUAAAAAAAAAAAUCAAAAUGAUGGUGAUGCACUGACUGAAGAUUAGGAAAAUACAUCAUCCACAGCAGCUUCUUCUUAGGGAGAGGCACUGAGGGGAGAGAUUACCACAUGUUACUGAGAAACACACAGAGAAAGUCAGGGUAUUUUGGCUAGUGUUUUCUAAUUAAUCUUUUUAUCACUUUUUUUUCAAUUCAUAGUAAAUCUAUUUAAGCAUUCCUGCUGGUGGCAAGGCUGGAAGGAAAGAGGAUUUUAAUUAGAGAUGUACAGUUCAUGUAACUAAUGAAUCAAUAGUAAUUGAAUAUAGUGGAAGCUGCUUAAAAGCACAGCCAUGACAUUACAGUAAAAAUCCUUCCUUUAGCAGGUUUAGUCCUAUUUCAGAUAAUCUUUUAAGAGGAUUCCCCUAUGUAUUCCUGAGAACAUAUGUUUUUCUUUAUGUAUUCUCUUACGUUUAUCCAUUUACUAGGUUUGAUCAAUAUGUACAGCAGUAUUAAUUCUUGUCCUUCUCCAAUCUGUGGGUAUUGGAUCCAUAGAUUAAUGCAUAUCCCUAAUUACAGUCAGUCAAUGAAUACAUUAUUUUAAUUGAACAGAUUUUCCAUUUACAAUCUAGGGAAGUUCUAGUAAAUGUGACUCUUUACCCAUUAGCGAUGACUCAUGAGAUUUUAUUAACUUUUUAAGAAUUGUUUGUUUUUUAAAAAAGGCUCCAAAAAUCAGCUUUACACACUAGGCUAUACACUGCACAAUAGGAAGCUUAAAACACCAGAAGGAGAGACUUCCUCUCCAUAACAUCAGCCUGUUAAGCAGCACUACAACUGGGGUUUUGAUAGGCAUAGGAAAAUAGUAGACUCAUUCCAUAGCAAACGUAUCUUAAAUGAUCAGCCCUUCUCCUGGUAAAACUUGUUGGAGAGCAUUCUAGGGGGGAUGUCUUCCAAACCCAACAGAUCAUCAACAUGCCAUUUAUGUCUUUCCCUUCAGCACCUCUCUCGAAAGGCUACAUCUUGGACAGUGUAACUAGCCUUGUGGAUGGGGGGAAGCAGUAGAGAUGGUAUAUCUUGAUACUGUCUUGCAUGACCUUCUCAUAAACAAACUAGGGAAAAGCAACCUAGAUGGAGCUACUAUAAGGUGGGUCCAUAACUGAUUGGAAAAAAUUCCCAGAGUAGUUAUUCAGUCAAGCUGGAAGAGCAUAUCAAGUGGGGUCCUGCAGGGAUCAGUUCUGGGUGUGGUUCUGUUCAAUAGCUUCAUCGAUCAUUUGGAUAAUGGCAUAGAGUACACUUAUAAAGUUUGCAGACAAUAGCAAGCUGGGAGGGGUUGCCAGUGCUUUGGAGGAUAGGAUUACAAUUUAAAAGGAUCUGGACAAACUGGAGAAAUGGUCUGAAGUAAACAGGACGAAAUUCAAUAAGGACAAAUGCAAAGUACUCCACUUAGGAAGGAACAGUCAGUUGCAUACAUACAAAAUGGGAAAUGGCUGCCUAGGAAGGAGAACUAACAAUCUAAAUAUGAGUCAACAGUGUAACGCUGUUGCAAAAAAAAGUGUAAGCAGAGACAGGGUAGGCUCCACCCUGACAUCUGGUGGUGAGGUGUGGCAAGUUGUGGAAAAGAACUUCAGGGGCUGAUCUCAUUUGCAUAGGCACACCCACCCCGCCUAGAAUGAGGCCAUAACUGCCCAAAUGGUCACUUUGGCUGCUGUGGGAUCCCCAGUGUCUCUGUUAUUGGGGCGGGAAGAAUAAAGUGUUAGUACCCUGAUUAUGGGAACUGUGCUUGGAACUGUACUUGGCCUUUUUGUUAUGAUGGAGGACUCACCAUCAACUGAGUAGCACUCACUAGGCAAGGGACAUGGGUUCCAAAACUCUGUGAAUUGAGAGAGACUUGAGGUGUAGGCCCCUUUGUGAGGGCCUGAAGCACCAAUUGCACCUCUGUCUCUCUCCACUGUGGAAUGUCAGAGCUAAUUUUGGGUCUAUUAAGAGUUUUGUUACGGGUACUGUGCUGAAUUCACUUCAGCCUGAUGGUGCACCAGCACUAAGGCUCCUACUACUAUGAGCUGAAAUCACCGAGAGCUGAAAUCACUGAGCACUGUGUCAAGUAGUGGGGAGCCGGAAGAUCUAGUGUGCAGCGGAGCUAUUUGUGAGACGGCGGGGUGAGCAGAGCUGUUUGUGAGACAGCGGUGUGUUCGUGAGACGGCGAGCUGAGCGGAGCCGGUCGUGAGACGGCGGUGUGUUCGUGAGACGGCGAGCUGAGCGGAGCCGGUCGUGAGACGGCGGUGUGUUCGUGAGACGGCGAGCUGAGCGGAGCCGGUCGUGAGACGGCGGUGUGUUC